rnacentral:rRNA from 1 species
GACGAACGCUGGCGGCGUGCUUAACACAUGCCAGUCGAACGGUAAGGCCCCUUCGGGGGUCCACGAGUGGCGAACGGGUGAGUAACACGUGAGCAACCUGCCCUUGACUCUGGAAUAACAGUUGGAAACAGCUGCUAAUACUGGAUAUUCAUCGUCUCCUUCCUGGGGGGUGGUGGAAAGCUCCGGCGGUCAGGGAUGGGCUCGCGGCCUAUCAGCUUGUUGGUGAGGUAAUGGCUCACCAAGGCUUCGACGGGUAGCCGGCCUGAGAGGGCGACCGGCCACACUGGGACUGAGAUACGGCCCAGACUCCUACGGGAGGCAGCAGUGGGGAAUAUUGCACAAUGGGCGCAAGCCUGAUGCAGCAACGCCGCGUGCGGGAGGACGGCCUUCGGGUUGUAAACCGCUUUCAGUAGGGACGAAGGGUGACUGACGGUACCUACAGAAGAAGGACCGGCUAACUACGU